rnacentral:snoRNA from 1 species
CGACGGCCGUUCCUCUUCCUGUCUACAGUGGAGCAGGAGGAUUUCAUGCUGUCGCAGAGAAUUGUGGGUCUUUUCACCCAGAGAGCUGCAGGUGGAGCUCACCAACACAGCUUUCUGGUUUUGUGGGAUCCAACAUGU